rnacentral:rRNA from 1 species
GACGAACGCUGGCGGCGUGCUUAACACAUGCAGGUCGAACGGAAAGGCCCUGCUUUUGUGGGGUGCUCGAGUGGCGAACGGGUGAGUAACACGUGAGUAACCUGCCCUUGACUUUGGGAUAACUUCAGGAAACUGGGGCUAAUACCGGAUAGGAGCUCCUGCUGCAUGGUGGGGGUUGGAAAGUUUCGGCGGUUGGGGAUGGACUCGCGGCUUAUCAGCUUGUUGGUGGGGUAGUGGCUUACCAAGGCUUUGACGGGUAGCCGGCCUGAGAGGGUGACCGGCCACAUUGGGACUAAGAUACGGCCCAGACUCCUACGGGAGGCAGCAGUGGGGAAUAUUGCACAAUGGGCGGAAGCCUGAUGCAGCAACGCCGCGUGCGGGAUGACGGCCUUCGGGUUGUAAACCGCUUUCGCCUGUGACGAAGCGUGAGUGACGGUAAUGGGUAAAGAAGCACCGGCUAACUACGUG